rnacentral:lncRNA from 1 species
AAGUGUGAGUUAUUAUGCUUGUUGAAAAGAAAAGAAGAGUUGAGAAAAAAACAAAAAAGGAGUUGAAAAAUAUGCGAAAAAGAGUUUUAAAGUGCUGCUUGUUGAAGAAAGGGUCCAAAACAUAGAAUUCAGCCCUAAAUAUUGCUUGAAUUUUCCCUUCGUGUCUAAAAGCUGUUUUCUGCAAUCUAAGUAAAUUCUAAGUUUCAAUUUCAUUACUUUACUUGCUAUUGCUUUAAGAACGAUUGUUAUCCUUAUCCUUCAUUUGUUAGCCAUCACCCCAAGCCCCGUUACAACCCUUAACUUCAUCUUGAGUGUCAUGCGUUUCAAUAUGUGGAGUUUGAAAUUGAUAUGAGCAUAUGGUGUCACUAGUUCUCGCAUCUAAGUAGUAGCAUUCCAUUCAUGAGAUCAUAUCUAAACAUGCUUAUUAACUCCAGAAAUUGCUUUCUUUGUGAUACACAUAUGUGAGCGUUCGUUUUCAUAUCUACAUCAAUCUUCUCACAUAUAACUAGUAUAGGGUGUGUAGUUAGAAAAU